UACCAGCACCCCGAGUGGUCGGGACGUUUAUUGGGCCUAAAGCAUCCGUAGCCGGUUCUGCAAGUCUUCCGUUAAAUCCACCUGCUUAACAGAUGGGCCGCGGAAGAUACUAUAGAGCUAGGAGGCGGGAGAGGCAAGCGGUACUCGAUGGGUAGGGGUAAAAAUCCGUUGAUCCAUUGAAGACCACCAGUGGCGAAGGCGGCUUGCCAGAACGCGCUCGACGGUGAGGGAUGAAAGCUGGGGGGAGCAAACCGG
rnacentral:rRNA from 1 species